AGCCGAGUUCGCGCCGCCGGUAGGUGCUGCCCUGCCAGGGGGGCGGGAUCGUGGAGCUCCUCGCAGAACCGCACGCAAGCAAAAACAAAGCCAUCUCUCCAAAGCAGAAAUAGAACAGACGUGGCCGGGGAAAGCCAAAUAUUUCUUGCCGUCCUGGUGAACACAAUCGAGCAAGGCAGUGAAGCAAAAAUCAUUAGGUGGCUGGACUCAGACACAUCACGCUCCAGUUUGGGUUCCAAGGUGCUUCUCUCUGGAUUUUCACCUGCCUUGCCAAAAAUGAUUGAUUACGCUGGGCCAACUGGGUGUCCGGCAAUACCCAACAAAUGACUUUGGCCCCUAACAGCAGGCCUUGGCCAGAUAGAAAUCAAUAUUUCACCAUUAAAAUCUAUCAAAGAAGAGUUAAGGCACCAUCUGUCCCUGCCGCCUCUCUAUGGUGUGUGAACAUUAAAUCCGACACUUGUACUACAUGGGUAAUCAAUAUAUAGUGGUUCACAGAUCAUUUGUGGUCCCCUUUUCGCAGUGAUGGAUGUCUGGAAUCGUUGUGAUUCAUUUUGUCAGACCAUUAAACAAGAUUCUGUCCA
rnacentral:lncRNA from 1 species